UUCCCAAGUGGUGGGAGUAAACUCGAUCUGCGCAGAACAGUUCUUUCCUUUUAAUGGCUCGUCAGGUUGAUGGAUGAAGUGCAGUAAACAUUGAAACGCUGUACCUUCAUUUGUGUUCAUUUGCAUUAACUGCUUGGAACAGCUGUUUUCCUUACUAUACCAUAGAGACGACUAUCUGUUCUUGUUGUAUUUGUCCUGCCUCCCGGUGAGAAAUACUAAAAGAUUAAUUGCUUUAGGUGGAGUCGACUGUGGGAAGAGUUUUUUUUGGAGAUUUGUUCACUUCGAUGUGAAGGAGGACUGAGCAAGCUACGUAGCUUAAAUAGUAUUUAGGUCUGCAUGCUUAAAUACUAGAGCAAAGGGAAAACGAACCAAAUUGAAACCUAACAAACAUAUAUAACCUGCUUUUUUCGAAAUACACGAAAGACUGAGCAAUACAUUCAAAAAGAAGUAUUUGACCGUUCACGUACCCGGCUAAUAAGUAUUCAGACUCCCGGGCAAUUGGGCAGCUUUUCAGACACAAAAUGCCGCGGCUUCCUUUCAUCUAACUUGGAUGGAGACGCUCAAUUAAAAGCCUAUCAGUUUGUCAGGUCAGAUCCUGUAAAUCCUGGGAUGGAUUUCAACAGAAAGCGGAUUGGAGCGAAGUUGGUUUUAAAGGAACAGCAAGAACCCCUUUGUCUUAAAUGAGAUGGAGAAAG